UGGUUCUUUUGUGUCCUCAGUUAAGUUGGAGCCUCCUUCGUUUGGAGCGGUGACUGUUGCUUGAAAUCUCCAUCUUUGCGGGCUGCUUGCUGCUUCCUCACCUGAGGAUUUCAAGAGUAUAAAAGAAUAGCCUCUGCUCAGUUCCUUCCUUGAUAAUGAAGAUACAUUAUUUGUGAAUGAAUUUAGCUGAAUAUGGAUCCGGGUGGUGGAAGUCUUGGAUUGCAAACACAAGAAUCCAAAAUGCCUCACGCUAUGAUUAUGCAGGACUUUGUGGCUGGAAUGGCCGGCACUGCUCAUAUUGAUGGAGAUCAUAUUGUUGUGUCAGUCCCUGAAGCUGUCCUUGUUUCUGAUGUUGUUACCGAUGAUGGAAUAACUCUUGACCAUGGCUUAGCAGCUGAAGUUGUGCAAGGACCAGACAUCAUCACUGAAACUGAUGUUGUAACAGAGGGAGUCAUUGUUCCGGAUUCUGUUCUGGAAACUGAUGUGGCUAUUGAAGAAGCACUAGAUACCAGUGAUCAUGUUCUGACUUCUGAUCUAAUAACAGAAGCUGUUAGAGUUCCUGACCAGGUGUUUGUGGCUGACCUUGUUACGGGUCCUGAAGGACAUUUGGAGCACGUGGUGCAAGACUCUGUGUCAGCAGCUGACUCACCUACAAUGGUCUCAGAAGAAGUCCUUGUAACAAACUCAGAUUCUGAAACAGUCGUUCAGGCAGCUGGUACUGUUCCUGGCUCUACAGUGACUAUAAAAACAGAAGAUGAUGAUGAUGGCAAGAGUACAUCGGAAGACUACUUAAUGAUAUCUUUGGAUGAUGUUGGAGAAAAACUGGACCACAUAGGAAGCACUCCCUUGAAAAUCAGUACCGAAGUGACAAAUGAUGAAGUGGCUAAAGAUGAUGGGUUUGGUUCUGAAGUUAUCAAAGUAUAUAUAUUUAAAGCUGAAGCUGAAGAUGACGUUGAAAUAGGUGGGACAGAAAUUGUCACAGAGAGUGAUUUUCACAAUGGACAUUCAGUAGCUGGAGUAAUUGAACAAGGAGGUGUUGGUAGAAUGCAGCGAGAAAAAAUGGUUUACAUGGCUGUUAAGGACUCUUCUCAGGAAGAUGAAGAUAUUAGCUGUGCUGAAAUAGCAGAUGAAGUUUACAUGGAAGUUAUUGUAGGAGAAGAAGAAGCUACAUCACUUCCAGACACACAGCUUGAAGAGACUGGUGUGAAUAAAACUUUUGUUCCUGUUGCUUGGGCUGCUGCUUAUGGAGAUGACAGAAGACUACCCAGAAGAUAUGAAGAUGGUCAAGCGGCAGGGAAUAACUUGGAUACACGAUUAGAAAACAAAAACGGUAAUGCAACACAAUACCUGCAGAUUUGUGAUAGUAUUAGCACUAAUAGAGUGCUAAAACAAAAAACAAAGAAAAGGAGGAGAGGAGAGGCCAGGCAAUGGCAAACAGCUGUUAUAAUAGGUCCUGAUGGACAGCCCUUAACAGUUUACCCUUGUCAUAUAUGUGGGAAAAAAUUUAAAUCCAGAGGAUUCUUGAAAAGGCAUAUGAAGAAUCAUCCAGAUCAUAUGAUUAAGAAGAAAUACCAGUGUACAGACUGUGACUUUACAACUAACAAAAAAGUAAGUUUCCACAAUCAUCUGGAAAGCCAUAAACUUAUAAAUAAAGUUGAUAAAACCCAUGAGUUUACGGAAUAUACAAGAAGAUACAGAGAAGCAAGCCCGUUGAGUUCUAAUAAACUAAUACUGAGGGACAAAGAGCCUAAACUGCACAAGUGCAAAUAUUGUGACUAUGAAACUGCAGAGCAGGGGCUGCUCAAUAGACAUCUACUUGCAGUUCACAGUAAGAACUUCCCUCAUGUAUGUGUGGAGUGUGGGAAAGGAUUCCGUCAUCCGUCAGAGCUGAAAAAGCAUAUGAGGACCCACACUGGGGAAAAGCCAUACCAGUGUCAGCACUGUGUCUUCAGGUGUGCUGAUCAGUCCAAUCUGAAAACUCAUAUCAAAACCAAACAUGGGAAUGACUUGCCAUUUAAAUGUGAGCACUGUCCCCAGGCUUUUACAGAUGAAAAGGAGCUGCAGCAGCACACAGAGUUGUUUCAAGGGCAUAAGACUCAUCAGUGUCCGCACUGUGACCAUAAGAGCACCAACUCCAGUGACCUGAAGCGACACAUUAUUUCAGUUCAUACGAAGGAUUUUCCCCACAAAUGCGAGGUAUGUGAAAAAGGCUUCCAUCGUCCAUCAGAGCUCAAAAAGCAUAGUGAAACCCAUAAAGGUAAAAAGAUACAUCAGUGUAGACACUGUGACUUUAAAACGUCAGAUCCUUUUAUACUGAGCGGGCACAUCCUCUCAGUUCACACCAAGGACCUGCCUUUUAAAUGCAAAAGAUGUAAAAGAGGAUUUAGGCAGCAAACUGAACUUAAGAAGCACAUGAAGACACACAGUGGAAGAAAAGUUUAUCAAUGCCAGUAUUGCGAAUAUAGCACUACGGAUGCGUCAGGCUUUAAACGACAUGUAAUAUCAAUACACACAAAAGACUAUCCACAUAGGUGUGAGUAUUGCAAAAAGGGAUUCCGUAGACCAUCAGAAAAAAAUCAGCAUAUAAUGAGGCACCACAGAGAGGCCAUAAUGUAAUAUAUGAUGUCAAGAAGGAAGCAAUUUAGAAACUGUGUUAUGAUAAUUGGGGAAAAAAAAAUCUCAUGAACUGUUUCUCCUGGUUUCAAAGCUCGAUAUUAAAUCAUAACUUUACAUUCUUUGUAUUAAAAGUCUUAAAGUAUUAGGGUUGACAGGGGAUCUCAUAGCCCUAUGAUUGUUGCUUAUCAGAACCUGAAGAGCACUAUAGAAUGCAGAAAGAUGAAUGAAUGUCUUAAAUUUGCAGAAAGAUGAAUGAAUGUCUUCAAGUAGUAGUAUUACGCGUUGCUAAGCUAUGGAAGACAAAAAGAAGAUGAUUGUGUUACCCGUUUUGUCAGUGAGAGCGUUUGUCUCCAUACUGAAACAGUUCAGAUGUGUGACGGGAUUCUUCACAGCUGGUUUGCUGAGGCAGCUGGGCCUGGCUUCUUGUGUGGUUCUGAGAGAAGAGUAUUCGUCAGUCACUUGAUCAUAACGUUUGAAAUCGUGCCUGGAAAUUAUAUUCUAGAAUAGGUCAGUUAGGGGAGGUUGUCCUGCUUUCAACAAAUACAACAUUUCAUUGGGAAACUUUUUGGUUUCCUCUAUUACUUAGGUCCAACAAGAAAUUUGUAAUGAUUUUCAAAGCUGCUAACCUAUUUUAUUGCAGGAUACAAUGAUAAAAACACAGCGUUGUGAUCUCAGAGGUGGUGUUUUGGUGCUAGGCUUAAAGACGUGUAUGUACAUAACUUCCCUUUUUUACCUGAAACUAUGGCUGAAUGUUGUUCAGUAUGGCACAUAAAAUUAAGUUUGAAUCUGAUUCUAUUUUUUAAGGAUGAAACGGAUGCAGCUAAUAGUGUUGCUACUCAGCACUACUUUUUUUUUCUCACUACUUUAAGAUCUCAAAGUACUAUUAAAAAGAAAAUUGAAAAAAACUAUAGUUUGUUUUUAAUUAAAAUUCAAAGUACUUAGAAGCUCUUUAGGGCAGUGUUCUUAACAGGUAUGGCAAUUGCCCUACCUCCUAAUAUGAAAUUUUCAAUAUAGACAUAAAAUUGCACCUUUUAAUCAAUUCUUAAAAAAAAAGAAAUCUAUACCACGCUAUAAACGUGCAUUUUCAAUCUGUAAGAAAGUAUAUAUGCAGUAUUUAGCCAGAGAAAUAUGCUGCCGCUAGAGUUUGGAGAUGGAUCUUCAGUUUACAGUGUAUACAUUUAAAAUAUGCAUCCCUUUAAACAAUGCUUUGUGUUAGCAUGCUGCAAAUCAAAUGGCGCUUAAUAUAACGAGCUGGUCUAGGGCUAUUUAAUGAACAACCUGUUCAUAAGUGUUACGCAUAUAAUGUGUAUUUUUUACUCUUUUUAGUUGCUUCAUGUUUGCACACAGCUGUUCACAUGAGAAAUUGUAACUUCAUGCUAUAUUGUGGCUUUGUGUUUCAGAUAAUGUUCAUAUUUUGUUUUUGCACCAGAUGAGAAUCAGUUCCUUGAGAAAAUUUUUUUUUAUAUUUCUAAACUUCAGGAAGUGAAAUUUGGGAAAUCUCUUAGAAAAAUACGUGUUUUAUGUGGCUGUAAAAAAUGAUGUACACGCUGUAAAAUAAGAUUGUCACUGUGUGGGAUUAUUAUUUCUAAAUGUGUUACUCAUCGUAACGGGCAUACAAUAAAAUGCAUCUCUUGCACUCCAAAUAUUUUGGAGUCUAUUUCUCAUUUAUGCUGAUUUAGGAAAGUCUCAUUCGGUGUAAUUUUGCCUUAAUAUUUUAGUUACGUUGUUAUUCCCUGGUUGAUAUGAAAUGUAGUAACAUCUCAAGUGAACAGGUUACCUGAGGUAUGUGUGUGUACCACUGUUGAGAGGGAAUACUGAGGUUCCAGUUAACCCCCUAAGGUUACAGGUAACAUACGUACCUCUGUUUCUAAAUAAUUAUCACAUGUGAUAGUGCUGUACCUUUUAAAUUCUUUCCUUCAAGUGAAGAGAACAUAACAUUCCAAUUUUUGGAAAAAGGCAGGUAGGUGCUGUCUUUUAUUAGCUUUAUAAUAAGAGCAGCUGUCGAAAUUCUAGAAGUACUGCUUUCUUAAUUUUCUUCUCUUUUUAGAAUACUUGAAUCAUGGCAUCAGUGAUAGAUUGGAACCUCUAAGAAAAUGAUGCACUUCACUGAGGAUUUCCAGUGUGCUUUUAGCCAGCCAGCGUGUGGCUUUUGUGCAGGCAAACUAUGCAGACAUUGUUAAUGGAAUAGUCUGGUGUUUGUUUCUGAUACUUUCUUCUGUAGGUCCAGCAGACAGAGGAGGAGACAGUGACAUUCACAAAAUCUUAAAAAUUAAUCUUUUGUUUUGUUGGCAAUUUUAAUACUUUAUUCCUGAAAUUAUAUUGAAUACGUAGACUGGAGGAGAUCCUUCGUAGCAGGCUGAAGACCUGGCUGGCUCAUUUUUCCACCUCGAGAAUGGACAGAAUAACCAGAUAUGUGAGUACUUUUAAGAUCUUCAGCCAGCAUUGAAACCAGAUUCAGUUCUGCAUUGCCUAAGGACCCACCAGAGUUGGUGUGGUACAGAACAGGCCAUAGGGGUGGCAGACAGAGGAAUACAAUGGAAGGUUUUGAGCUUACAAGAUUUCAGUUUAAAACACACAGAUGUAGGUAAUUCUUUCUAUGACAAAUGGUUGUUUUGUGUAAGAUGAGAUAAUACACACCAAAUUUGGAUUUCUUAUUUUCUAAAUCUCUAACUGAACGCCAGUUGUUAUCUUGUCAUAGAAUCAUAGAAUCACAAGGUUAGAAAGGACCUACAAGGCCAUCUAAGUCCAACUGAACUCCUAUCACCAUUACUACCACUAAGCUACUAAACCAUAUCACGCAGCACCUCAUCCAGACACCAUCUUUUAGUUCUGGAUUUUUGCUUAUAGUUUUCAAGGUUUUGGAAGUGACACCACAUCUUCUAGUGAUUACCAUGUUAAGUUACUCUGAUCUUUCUGAAGUUUGAGGAAAACAGUAGACAGCUGUACUGUUUUUGUCAUGUAUGGUUAUUUUUUACAGGUUUCAUCUGAGAAAACUCCCUAAAUAAUGCUUAUUUAUUCCAAUUAUGGGAUGUGCCAAAACUUCUCAGAAUAAAUGUUAGUUCAGAACCACUGGUGUCUACCAUCCUAAAAAGCACAGUGCAGCGUGGGACAUCAAUUCUUUUACUCAGAUUUUCUGUUGCACGUAGUUACUCCAUGCCCUAAACUCUUACACACUAUAAAGUCCACUGAGUGCUGUUUGUGGUUUGUCUUUUAACAUAUGGAAUGAUGCCAAAAACAAUACGGUGGGUGCUGGAUAAAGAUUUACUUCAUUUUCAGCUUCAUCAUCAUACAAAGUUCUGUAAUGCUUUAUUACAGAAGUUGAAAUUGGUUUUGAGUGUUUCGCAGCCUGUAGGUCUGCCUAGUGAGAUUUCUUUCUAGUUAGGAAAAAAGUUUUACCUUUUGAAAUGUGGAAAUCUGUGAGGAGCAAAUUUUGCAAGAUAUGAGGUUAGCUGUAGUUCGUUGCUGUCAGAUGAGGAACAAAUUUAGGAAGGGAAAGAGGAGCUGAAGAACAAGUACAGCCUAGUAGCCUCUGUGUAGGAGCCCUGCUCGCUGUGACAGAUAGAUGGAGAACCUGAGCUGAGUUUAAUGGACGUGGUUAUGGGCAGCCUUCUCCAGUGGGAAGUACGAGGAUGAGUUACCUCUGCAGUGUGGUUGGCUUAUUGCUUUAGCAAUUUGAACAUGUCAUUAUAUUCAUUAUUUCUUUCUUCUUUUGGCAGUGAAACAGCAAAAUGGACAGUGAGGCGUAGCUAAGAAGGGACAAUGUGGAAAUAAGGACUGUUGAAGGGAAAAACAGUUUCAAGUGCCCACAGUUAAAGGUGAUGAAACAGAGAGAGUAUAUGGAGGAAUGCCAACAAAGUAAUCUCAAGCUUCUUUCUUUGGAACUGUUUGUGUAAUGCUUCUAGCUUGUCAAGCCCAGAUGAGUUCAUGGCAAAGACCACAAUUGCUGAAAGAGUGACUGAAGAACAGAUGGUAGGCACAUCAGGAAAUACUGAAGUCCUCACCAGCAUGGCAUACCAUUCUCUUCUUAGAGAAAAGUUUUACUAGAUGGAGCUUUUCCCUUUUGCAAAAGUUGAACAGACAUUUGGCAUUAAGACAUUUUCAGGAGGACAUCUGCAUCUGUGAAUAACAGCAGCUGAACAAAGAGCAAGUGAAGGCUUUGACAAACUGACCACUUGAAAACCACUGCUAGGAAGAAGUCUAACCUCAUUCACUGUUCAGAUCUUGCAAGUCAAUGAAUGAACCAUCCGUCUUUAUUAAAGCAACUAAGCUUGGACUUCACAAGUUACAUUUCAUCAUAAUGGACUUCUUACUGAGAGGGACCAAAUGGAUGAGGCCAUGGGAACUGAGAAAUACAACUUACCCCCAGGUCAUCCUGUAAAUGGCAGAGCUCUUCACGUAAGUUUUUGAAAGUGGAAAGCACAAGUCUCAAAGAUUUAUCCGAUAUCACUCUCAUCUAGGAGGAGAAAAAAUAAAAUAUAUAUUCUAAUUAGUGAGUUUUGUUUACAAUAUGCUUAACUAUAUAUAAAAGCACAGAACUGCUAUACAGCUGAAAAUAACUUCCAGAACUACUGUACUCACUGUUCUUUGAAAUGCCCACAUCUUCUAAAAAGACUUUUUUAGGCACUUUGUUCCUUUUGAAUUACUGCCUUGUAACACACAGGCAUUGAGUUUGUUAAGUAGCUAAGGAAUAUGAUGAGAAAAAAGCCAAAAGCCAUUUAUAAAUGGACCCAAACCAGAAGUGAUAUGUUCUAUUACCAGAUACUGUAAGUGUGCCAUGGCAGUGAGUGCAGUUAGCAGUGUUUUUAGCCAGACCGUUUGUAAAGGCAAAACCCAAGUUAGAGAGAGGCAGCAUAUGUAAUUAGUAAUUGAUACCUGAUUCAUCACUCAGUAAGACACCUACUAUUUGCCUUUAAUUUCUAGAGUAAAGCAUUAAUAUACAACACAGACAAAUAAAAAGAUUGAAAUUCA